CUCAUAGCAGGCAUGCUUGCUAUGUUUAUUUAGAUUUAUGCAACUGUGUCUGAAAACCCUGUCACUUAAUGAUUUUGUUGAAUUAAUCUGGUAGAGCUUUCACCGAAUAAUACACACUUUUUUGCAUCUCAACAAGCAUUCAGUUUUCUCAAGUUGUACAUUUUAUUUAACUCCUCCACUAAGACUCCACAGUUUCCUGGCAUCCUUCAUAUACCUUCUCUUUUGGUUAUCUCUUUUGCAGUGCACCAUGUAGAUAGAAGCAUCCACCAGACUUUGGGCUGAUUUGUUCAGUCAUUUCUCUUAGAUGAAUGCCUGUCACUUUGGGGUGAGAGUGUUUAUGUUCUUGUGGAGAACAGCCAAGAAUAUUGCAGAAAACACAAGCUCAGUGCUAAGCUCAAGAUGACUGAAUGUCUGAGGAAGGUGUACAAGUUAGCCAUGGACCUAAGCAAUCAAUGGGGACUCCAAGCAAUUUACAGCGCACACUAUGCUAAGCACCAUACUGGUUUACAGAAUGACAAGCAUCAACUUUUCACAGAAGAGUGCAAAUUUAUCUUGAUUUGCCUAACUCUGAAGUACUCAAUUACAAGGAAAGCUGCCAUUCUGCACCCUUGGCUGCAUCCUCAUGGACAGUUUGAGAUGAACUGCAAGAACCUAGCUGCACCCUUAUCUUGCCUGCUGGUUUGCCACCCAUAACAACAUGCAGUCACACCCUUGAUGACCAUGAGAGGGCAUACACAAGCAUAGGAGCUCUGUUUACUUUCUUCCAGAGACAUAUGCUGAUUCAGACCUGUGGGCUCAUUCUCUAUAUUAAGUGGAUAAAUAAGGGAACGCUGCAUCCAAGCCCAAGCCCCUGCAAACAGGCAAUAUCCAUUUUCCUCAGUGGAGAUGCCAUGAUGUUCCAAAAUGCUUCUUAAAAUCCUUUCUGGUUUUGCUGCAGUUCAUUUCAUGUAGUGAAAAUUACCAUUAUGUAGUAAGAAUGAUCAGCAAUAGCAUUUCACUUUAACCUCUGCCCAGGAUACGGU
rnacentral:lncRNA from 1 species